rnacentral:rRNA from 1 species
GGUGAGUAACACGUGGAUAACCUACCUAUAAGACUGGGAUAACUUCGGGAAACCGGAGCUAAUACCGGAUAAUAUUUUGAACCGCAUGGUUCAAAAGUGAAAGACGGUCUUGCUGUCACUUAUAGAUGGAUCCGCGCUGCAUUAGCUAGUUGGUAAGGUAACGGCUUACCAAGGCAACGAUGCAUAGCCGACCUGAGAGGGUGAUCGGCCACACUGGAACUGAGCACGGUCCAG